GACGAACCGUGCGAACGUUGUUCGGAAUCACUGGGCUUAAAGGGCGCGUAGGCGGCGUGGUAAGUCACUUGUGAAAUCUCUGAGCUUAACUCAGAACGGUCAAGUGAUACUGCUGUGCUAGAGUGCAGAAGGGGCAAUCGGAAUUCUUGGUGUAGCGGUGAAGUGCGUAGAUAUCAAGAGGAACACCUGAGGUGAAGACGGGUUGCUGGGCUGACACUGACGCUGAGGCGCGAAAGCCAGGGGAGCAUACGGG
rnacentral:rRNA from 1 species